GAAGCCCCGCCCCGCCCGCAGGCGUCACGUAGCCGCUUUCCCAGGGGCGAAGGUGGGGCAGGCUCGGCCGCCUGGCCCUGCGCCCGGACUACCCCGCCCGGCGGUGAGGAGACUCGGUCUGGGUCAAGAGGCACGAGCCUAAAACCCUGCAGCUGCGCUGGAAAGGACCGCACGCACACCGUGAUCCUGACCACGUCCACGGCCGUGAAGGUGGAUGGUGUCCAAACCUGCAUUCAUCACUCUCAGGUUAAGAAAAACUGUGUGAAGGCGGGAACACCCCAGACUGAUAGGGAAGCAGAUAACGAACAGCAGUGGAAGGUCCCAAGGCACCCAGAGGAUCCUUUAAAGCUAAGACUGAUGCGGGCAUAAAAAGAACAAUAAUUGUCUGGGUUUGUAUAAUGGUAAGCGUGGGGGAUUGUAUGGAAUUACCUCCCCUGUCUUUUUGGCCAUGCCACUGGGAACUCAGGGACACUGUCACGGGGAAGGUGAUAGCAUCCAAUACCUCUUCCGCUGUGCCUUGUUUUUUGUUUGAUUUAUGCGACUUGGUGGGGGACUCGUGGGGGACUUUAGUUACUAAUUAUAAACAGCCAACGGGCUUCGCCGCUCCGGUCCCCGAAAACCCCUGUAUGGUUACCUAUGGAUGUGGACACAGGGAUCAAGAACAAAAAUUGGCCGACAUACCAGGGUUAUCCAGUUGCCCUGCAAAUGGAAAGGUCGAAUGUGAAGGAAAAGGCCAGCGAUAAUUGGUAUCAGAGUUUAUUCUCUUGGUCCCUCUGGCUCACGUCACUGCUCACCGCCAUAGCUGGGCCACUGCUGUUGUUACUUCUCGGGUUAACUAUCGGCCCGCGCAUUAUCAGUUGGUUAGUAUGUCAAGAGGCGAGUUGGUGAAACACAAAUAAUGAUGAUUAGGUCCAA